AUCGCCUCUAGGCCUUUUGGCUAAGAUCAAGUGUAUAUCUGUUCUUAUCAGGAUGUGGCUGCUGCCCCUGUUUUUCCACAGGGCUCCAGAGCAGCAGUAGUUCAGGUGAGAGUCUGCUUUUCAGAGCAGGGUAUGUGUUGAUCAGGAAAGCCUCUGGUCUUUUAGAAUCACCAGACCUGGAGACCCAUU